CCCCUAGAUGUUCUGGGCUGCACGCGCGCUACACUGAACAGUUCAACAAGUCUUAACCUUGGCCGAUAGGUCUGGGUAAUCUUUGAACGCUGUUCGUGAUUGGGAUAGACCUUUGCAAUUAUGGGUCUUCAACGAGGAAUUCCUAGUAAACGCAAGUCAUCAGCUUGCAUUGAUUACGUCCCUGCCCUUUGUACACACCGCCCGUCGCACCUACCGAUUGAAUGGUCCGGUGAAAUCUCGGGACGGCGGCUUGGUCGCUUGCGUCCGACUGCUGAAACUUGAUUAAACCAUAUCAUUUAGAGGAAGGUGAANUCGUAACA
rnacentral:rRNA from 1 species